UACGGAGGGUGCGAGCGUUGUCCGGAAUCACUGGGCGUAAAGGGUGCGUAGGCGGGUCUUUAAGUCAGGGGUGAAAUCCUGGAGCUCAACUCCAGAACUGCCUUUGAUACUGAGGAUCUUGAGUUCGGGAGAGGUGAGUGGAACUGCGAGUGUAGAGGUGAAAUUCGUAGAUAUUCGCAAGAACACCAGUGGCGAAGGCGGCUCACUGGCCCGAUACUGACGCUGAGGCACGAAAGCGUGGGGAGCAAACAGGG
rnacentral:rRNA from 1 species